rnacentral:rRNA from 1 species
AACGAACGCUGGCGGCAUGCCUAACACAUGCAAGUCGAACGAGACCUUCGGGUCUAGUGGCGCACGGGUGCGUAACGCGUGGGAACCUGCCCUUAGGUUCGGAAUAACUCCCCGAAAGGGGUGCUAAUACCGGAUAAUGUCUUCGGACCAAAGAUUUAUCGCCUUUGGAUGGUCCCGCGUUGUAUUAGCUAGUUGGUAGGGUAAAAGCCUACCAAUGCGACGAUCCAUAGCUGGUCUGAGAGGAUGAUCAGCCACACUGGGACUGAGACACGGCCGAGAAUACUACGGGAGGCAGCAGUGGGGAAUAUUGGAAAAUGGGGGAAAGGCUGAACGAGCAAUGCCGCGUGAGUGAUGAAGGCCUUAGGGUAGUAAAGCUCUUUUACACGGGAUGAUAAUGACAGUACCGGGAGAAUAAGCACCGGCUAACUCCGUG